GUCCAUGAUGCUGCAAGCAGCACAGGAUACAUUUCUUGGCGUCUAUAAGCAAUUCAACAAAAGAUUUGUCGAGGAUCUGCACCAUCACCAAAUAGCCCUAUGGACACUUCUCCCAAAUGUCCAACGAGCUAUUCAUGUAGAAAGACAGCUGGAUCGGGAUGUUUGCCAAGAGGACAUGUCUUUGCUCAACAGACAAUUCCCUGAUUUUUCAGAAAAUGAGAGAAACCUUUCAGCACCGUCAGAAGCUUGUUAAUGACCCAAGCAGAGGUGUUGAUGUCCUCUCCACCUUCCCAAGAUUCCUGGAUGACAAAGGAUUGGUGGAUCAAGACUUCACCCUCUAUUAGAUCAUGAAACAUCCUCCAGGCUCCUUCAGAAAUGGGAUGUGUUCUUCAGUCCAAAUGUCAUUAAAGAGGCAAAGCGGCUUACUUCAACACGCAGAGUUUCGUCGCUUGUUGCAGAGUCCCACAGGAAGUGAGCUUGAUGAGACGACAAUCAUGCUGCAGUUUGGAGGAGCAUCUCCGCAACCAGCAGGGUCGGCAGCCAUACCUCCUCGCUGUUGGGCGUCAGAAGAGCAAGAUUGACAGCUUCUACAUCACCAAUGGAUAAGCAUCUCAUCCCACGGCAGGCAAACCGCUCCCUACCUUGGGGCUUUCGACAAACUUUCCAAAACCUAUUUUGUGUUUAAUUUGUCGUAUGAUGCUGCGUUACUGAAUUUUUACCCAUUCUUGCAGACAACAGUGUAUAACAUUGAUGUGGGGAAAAUGAAGGAGUCACCCAGAGUCAGAGACUGCUUGAAGACUGCUUGACCAGCUAGUACCGGUCUCACUCUCUGAGUAAGAGGCUAAAACAAUACUGACCGGUUUCGUGUGUCAGAAUUUGU